GGCACUAUGGCGGAGUGGUUAUCGCGUGGCACUAGAAUCGAGUCGCAUUCUAGAGCAAAUCCUGCUCAACAAAUACAUGCCAUUCCCUCUGGGAGCACAGGUUCAAAUCCUGUUGGUGUCG
rfam:Pseudozyma antarctica T-34 DNA, contig: scaffold00026.